rnacentral:lncRNA from 1 species
UGGAGAAGACCCAGGCCACCUUCCCCAUCCUCUGGGACUCUGGCUUCCUGUGCAUGGGCCACAGCCGCAGUGGCACGCGGCUGGCCAUGGUGGUGUCACUGGACCUCAACGCCACCAGCCAAGUGAUGGCUGUGCAACUCCAGGGAUCGAACUUGAGACCUUGCGCUUGCAAGGCAGGCGCCGGAACCACUGAGCUAAAUCCCCGACCCUCCAGCCACCUCUGAAAAGCCCCCCUACCUAUGACUGAAUGAGGCUUUGGGAGGACAUCUAGACACAAGCCAUAACAAGGCACGGGGUGCCUUUGCCAUUGCUGUCCUUCCACACACCCGCCAUCCGUUCUGGUCCAGACGGUCAUCUCCCAAAAGUCAGGACCCCAGCCUUUGGACUACCCUCCCUCCACUGUGGCCUCAUUUUAACUGAUUACAGCUGCAAAGACUUCUUUCUAAUAAGGUCUCAGGCUGAGGCUCUGGGUGGGCAGGAACAUGGGUGAUGUUCUCAGCCUACCUGGGGCAGCCACAUGACUGCAAGUGUUCACUGUGGUGCCUGGCUCAGCCUUUCCGGGCUGCUCUCCAGCCUUCCCUCCAUCCUGCAAGACUUCCCAGCACCUUGUGUACCUGUCCAGGAUUUCAGUGGGGAACUCGGACCAGCAUUGGUGAUAUCAGAGGACACAUGGAACAAGCCAGAAGCAGCCAUCUCCCUCCCACAAGCUCGCAGAACCCAGCAUGGCUGCUCUCCCACUUCCCUGUUCAGUCUGGCUUUCUCCUGUCACCAGGCCAACAUGAGUUCUUAGCCACUCAAAAGAUGGAGAUGAGAUGUGGACCAGUUCUCCAGCCUGUGAUAACCAUCACUGUUGUUUGCCUUCUGAAAAGCAAGAGUUCCUAAAUCAGCUUCCAAGAUGUUACCAGGGCCAGGGAUUUAGCUCAGUGGUUUUGCUGCCUGCGGUGCAAGUGCAAGGACUCAAGUUCGAUCCCCGGUACCAAAAAAAUAAAAUAAAAUGAAUUGCUUGAAAAAAAAAAAAAAUGAUGUUACCAAUCACCUGGAGGUCUUGCUUAAUUCAUGUAGAAACCACAAAUUGGCAAAGUGUAACUCCUAGUGUUAAAAGCUGUGGGCUUGAAUGCCAGCAGCUACCAACUCUUAGAGUUAGUGGCCCCCUUGCUGCUCAGCAAGCAGCUCCCAGCAGGCCUGGAGAAUCCUUCCUGCUACCAAGUGGUUCCAGCACUUCUUUGUUGCCGUGUUACUCUCUGCUGUUAGCUGUUUGCAGUGUUAGGCCCACAACAUCCCCUUCUUGAGACAGAAAUCACCAUCCAGAAGUUUUAUUAGACUUAGGCUACAGCGUAAGGGGGAACAGUGCACGGGCUGAACCCCUAAGGGUAUGGAGAGGGUAUUUAAAAAGGAGAAAAGCUGAGCUUGUACAUGUGUAGUCUCAGACUGUUUGGUCAUAGGGUAGGAGAGGGCCCCUUGCAGACCUACUCAAAGAGGGCUGUACAGAGGUAAAAUAAUCUGUGAUAGAACCAGGGAUUUAGCUUAGUGGUGCUGCUGCCUGCCUCACAAGCACAAGGUCCUGAGUUUGAUCCCUGAUACAAAAAAACCCCAAAACAACAAUCAUCUGUGAUAAGUCUGCAACUGAAGUCUGAUACAGCCAAAGCAAAUAUCUCCCCAGAAGCUGGCCGUGGUGGUGUACAUCUGUAGUCCCAGGACCCUAGGAGGCUGAGGGAGGAAGACUGUAAGUUUGAGCCCAGCUGGGCAAUUUAGCAUGACCUUAUCUCAAAAAAAAAAAAGGGAGGGAGCUGGGGUGGGGACAUAGUUUAGUUGAAAGGCCCUGGGUUGAAUUCUCAAUCUUGCAAAAAACAAAAACCUCCCUGAUGCAGCUGGGCUGGCUGCAAGGUAUUUAGAAAGCAUCAGGCAGUCCUCUCCUGUCUCACCAGGGCCUGGGCCCACUGCAGGGGCUCCCCCUUCUGCUGUUCCGGACUUGGCUGCUGCUGCUUACUCUCUGACCAGUGUCACCCUCUGAUGAUCCAAAUGAAAGGGUUCGAGUUCUGGACACCCGUGAUAUGAGACAGGGUUUCCAUGACUCCUUUUGUGGGAGGGGAAGCCGUGGCAUGGAGAGCAGUAAACACCUUGCCCAGCUGGCUUUGAACCCAGGUCUGAACUCCCACUGCCUCUUUCCUCCAACUUCCCUUGACAGUAGUUCACAGUCAGAGCUGAAUGUGGAACAAAGUUUUUUUUAUUACUGUGAAACAUUCUAAAUGAACUUACUUCCAGGAAGAGGUGUGGAGAUGGGAGAAAAUGACAGUUAAACAGCUGUAGUAGGGUGGAGGGCAAGGAGAGCCGGCCUGGCCCAGGCCUGCAGAAGCAGCUUCCUGCAGGCCUUUGUGGAAGCCAAUGGAGACGCCACUUGUGGCUGGGAGUAGGGCUGGUGGUGGGGUCUGCAGAGCUGGAGUCUGAGGCCCUGAUUUUGGCUGCCUGUGGCUGGUGUUUAUGAGAUAUUGCUAUUGGCUCAGGCUGGGCAGAGUUGGGCAGAGUGCCUUUUGCCGGCUUAACACUUGCUACCGAGGAAUCCGUGGGUACCCUCAGCAUUGUGGCAGCUACAACCUGCAGUGCCCCCUGAGCCUGUGGCAUGGAGGCAUCCAGACGACAGUGAUUUUUCUGCUAUUCCAUGGGGCAGACUGGGGCAGCAUCCUGGAGACCAGUUAGCAAGAGAUCAAAAGUGCCACUGAUCAGGACUGACAAGGCAGGGACAGAAGGACUCUGUUAAGGUGGGGGUGAGGGGUAAGGCUUUUGGUAACAGGGUGGAGGGGGACAGGCAUCUCCUGUCCAGGCAGGGCUGGUCUCACUGGUGCCUGAGGGUGGGCGCCUUCAUCUUGUAUGGGACGGUUUUCAGUGUUAGAGUGGCUAAUCUGCAAAAGUCAACACCUCCUUCAGUCUAGA